rnacentral:rRNA from 1 species
AAAGAGCUCGUAGGUGGUUUGUCGCGUUGUUCGUGAAAACUCACAGCUUAACUGUGGGCGUGCGGGCGAUACGGGCAGACUAGAGUACUGCAGGGGAGACUGGAAUUCCUGGUGUAGCGGUGGAAUGCGCAGAUAUCAGGAGGAACACCGGUGGCGAAGGCGGGUCUCUGGGCAGUAACUGACGCUGAGGAGCGAAAGCGUGGGGAGCGAACAGGAUUAGAUACCCUGGUAGUCCACGCCGUAAACGGUGGGUACUAGGUGUGGGUUCCUUCCUUGGGAUCCGUGCCGUAGCUAACGCAUUAAGUACCCCGCCUGGGGAGUACGGCCGCAAGGCUAAAACUCAAAGGAAUUGACGGGGGCCCGCACAAGCGGCGGAGCAUGUGGAUUAAUUCGAUGCAACGCGAAGAACCUUACCUGGGUUUGACAUGCACAGGACGCUGGUAGAGAUAUCAGUUCCCUUGUGGCCUGUGUGCAGGUGGUGCAUGGCUGUCGUUAGCUCGUGUCGUGAGAUGUUGGGUUAAGUCCCGCAACGAGCGCAACCCCUAUCUUAUGUUGCCAGCGCGUUAUGGCGGGGACUCGUAAGAGACUGCCGGGGUCAACUCGGAGGAAGGUGGGGAUGACGUCAAGUCAUCAUGCCCCUUAUGUCCAGGGCUUCACACAUGCUACAAUGGCCGGUACAAAGGGCUGCGAAUCCGCGAGGUGGAGCGAAUCCCUUGAAAGCCGGUCUCAGUUCGGAUCGGGGUCUGCAACUCGACCCCGUGAAGUUGGAGUCGCUAGU